GACGAACGCUGGCGGCGCGCCUAACACAUGCAAGUCGAACGAGCGAGAGGAGGUUUACUUUCUCAAGCGAGUGGCGAACGGGUGAGUAACGCGUGAGGAACCUGCCUCAAAGAGGGGGACAACAGUUGGAAACGACUGCUAACACCGCAUAAGCCCACGACCCGGCAUCGGGUAGAGGGAAAAGGAGCAAUCCGCUUUGAGAUGGCCUCGCGUCCGAUUAGCUAGUUGGUGAGGUAAUGGCCCACCAAGGCGACGAUCGGUAGCCGGACUGAGAGGUUGAACGGCCACAUUGGGACUGAGACACGGCCCAGACUCCAACGGGAAGCAGCAGUGGGGAAUAUUGCACAAUGGGGGAAACCCUGAUGCAGCGACGCCGCGUGGAGGAAGAAGGUCUUCGGAUUGUAAACUCCUGUUGUUGAGGAAGAUAAUGACGGUACUCAACAAGGAAGUGACGGCUAACUACGUG
rnacentral:rRNA from 1 species